rnacentral:misc_RNA from 1 species
AAAAAAAAAAGAAUAAAAGAAAAAAAAAGUUAUUGUCCAAACAGUCAUAAAUAUGAUCGUUUGGAAGCAAAAACAAAAGGAAGGAGAAUGUAGCAGGAAGCACGCCAUGUAGCAGUUCCUGCUCCUACCACAUGGCAAACUCCUACAAUUGUCACGUUUUUUAAAUUGAAACGAAAUUGGUCCAGAAUUAGCAACUUGAACUACCAGUUCUAAUUCAAGGGGCUCGAGAGGCCCCUAACUGGUCCCUUAGUUCUCAGUUCAAGGUCAAUCUGGGUUGACGAACUGUUGGCCAAGUCUAUUCCAAAGCUUAAUUAGGAUUAGGAGUGUUGAGAGUCAAUACUGCACAUAACCUAUCAAAUUUUCAUUUAAUAAAUGAUAGAGAUUUUCUAAAAUUUUUGAAAUAGAAAGGAAAUGAUUGCUUUCACAAGUGUAAUUGCUUAGGAAACCCAACCAUGAUUUCAACUUUUUUUUUUAUUAUUUUUAAUGAGAUAGAAACUCCCAUUUAUACAUGGAUGGAUAUUCUGUCAAGGGUUUUACGGAGUUGGGUAUUUUGUUUCAAAUAGAGUUAGAAUGGUGAAUAAGAUACAUAUAGCAGAACUUAACUAGUUUGGGGUUAAGACUUGGUUAUUGUUGUUGUUGGUGUUGUCCUUGUGUUCUUGUUCUACAUCACUUAGUUUGGUGGGGGAUUGGAAGUCAUUGCCUCAUCAAAUAGAAAAAGUAGUUUUAUAACCUUUCUACCAAUGUUGCACACAAAAAGCCUACCAACUCUAUGUUAAGAAAUGAGCACCAAUAUACUAAUAAAUAUACAAAUGUGCUAUAAGUUUUCUCUCACUCUAGGCUAAGAUAGUCUCUUAAGUGCUAGCUUGAUGGUAGAUUGGGGCGUGCAUCAGUCAAUUUAGUUGGUUAAGUUUGGUAUGACAAUCACCAAAACCAAAACAACCAAAAUUAUUGGAAAGAAAAAUCAAACCCAUUCAAUUCAGUUUAUCAGUUUUCUCAACACUAAAACAAUUAAUGAAUUGCAAGAAUAUUGUUGGUUUUCACCAACAUAUCAAUAACAAUCCCCCAUUAAAUGUUGAAAACUCAUUUUAUCACCUUUGAA